rnacentral:tRNA from 1 species
UGGGGCGUAGCCAAGCGGUAAGGCAGCGGUUUUUGGUACCGCCAUUCGGAGGUUCGAGUCCUCCCGCCCCAG